rnacentral:lncRNA from 1 species
GAAAUGAGAGGAAAAAAGAUCAAUUUAGCUCAACGGAAGAAUGUGAGCGACAUCUCCUGUGAGCAGGGGGAUUUGUAUGCUGAGGGAGACACAUUUCCUUCCCCACCUGACCAGGAAAACCAAUCUUUUGCCUUAAUGCGAUUUAUGAAAGAAAUCACCAUUUGUACAUUACUUUUAAAACUUCAGGCAUUGAAGAGCAAUUCUGUUAGAAGUUUCUUCAACUUUGGUGAUCACUGCGCUGUUUGUAGAGAUGUCAGCGGUAAGAUUGGUGGCUGAACCAAGCAGGUUGCAUUCAGAAUGGCUCUCUGUCUGUUUUCAAUUUGAAAGGAACUGGCUGAAGUGUCACAAACACUUGAAGCUCUGCAUUCUGCAUUACAAUGAAAGUGGUGUCAUUAUACACAUUACACUUAACAACAACUUCCUUUUUAAUACAAGGAGGACAUCAUAUCAAAAUCAGCUGAGUAUGAAGCCCAGGAAGAGAUCAAGCGCCAAACAUCCCUGGAUAUUCCAAACCUUGCAGCCAGUCCUGUGGACACAGCUUUUUCUCUGAGAACAUACAUACAGAGCAUAUAUAAUAGCAUACAUAAUGUCAUGACACGCACAACCAUACCAUCACUGUAAAAUUGCAAAUCAGAGGUUAUCUUGAAGCAAAGUCCAUCUGUAUCAUCCUGGGAGCUAAAGCACGGAACAAGAGGACAAAGUGGUACCAGCACAGAAGAGCACAGAUCCUUCUUGUUCAUUCUCAAGAAGACAAGAAGUCCAGGACUAGAACUCGCAAGUGCACUGGGCACAAAGGCUGCAUAGGUCUUCAUGAUAAGUGACCAGAUUUUGUUCCUUGUGUUAUGGAAGUCUCCCUCUUUUGAAAUCCCAUGUCUUCCACAGCACUUAUUCUCUUGAGAUAUUUAAUUAGAAGUGCCCAUUUUAGUCCUUUCUCCUGUGUAGAAAAAUGCGUAAACAAACGGAUGUUGGAAUUCCUCGAGUUUAUUUGGGCUUUGGUCCCACUUUUAUAUUUUCAGGAGGAAUAAGAAGGGAAGAAGAAAAAAGUAUCCUUGAAUGGCAGAGUAGCACUAAGUGCACUGGAACAGGAUGAAGAACCUCAGACCUCAUUUCUCAGUGUCAGACUCCCAGGGCACUGACUGCCACGUCUCCUGGCCAUCCUUGGAAGAGCAAUGUCAGAACGGAGACUGUAACUGAGACUCUAGUCUCUGGACAAGGUGAACAAUAAAUAUUUUCCCAGCUGAGUUUUAAUCAACCUUCUACUGAAAUGUCGUCAACAGUUUUUCCUUGUAACAAACAGAAUCGUAACCCCAGGAGCCCUCAAGGGUGCUCAGGAUAAAACUCUUCACUGUGCAGAAAUUCCAGCGUCAGGUGGAACAGAGAACACAGUGAUCAAACAUCUUUAUUUUGUUUAGCUCUUGGAAGGAGGGUUUUUAUUUUUCCUUUCUUACAGAGAGAUCUGCCAAUGCUUUCCUUUCUAGAACACUAACAUUUAAUAGCAUCUCCCUAAGAACAUCAUAAUUGAAUCGCAGAAUGGAAAAGAAAAUACUGUGGACCAAAUAAGCCUUCUCGAUGUCUGUUUCAUUCUUGCAAUGGCCAACUUUCACUUAGAUUUCCACCAUGUAAUAAUAUGGAAGUAGAGAGAGGAGAGAUUGUUUACCUGAUGAAGUUACAGCUUUUCUUAAAUGCUCCAUUUUGCCACUGGCUAUUAAGCAAUACUGGAUCUGCAGUGAACAUACAGUAAAAUUUGCACUGACUUCAAGUGUACAGAAAAGAGGCCAGCACUCUAGAAAUCCUGCUUUAUGUUCAUAAAAUAUCUGGGGGACCUGAAAAACCAUAGAUACUUGUUGCUUGAUGGAAUACUAACAUGUGAUUUCUCAGGAUAAGAAGACUGCUUUCUGAAAAGACAGAAUACCAUGGUAUUCUUGCAGAAAACCAUGUAGUUGUAACACAUAUUUUGGAGAGCACAGAUCAAAAGAAAUUGAACUCAUUAACAGAAAUCAAACCUGGUCAUUCUGGAUCAGAAUGUGAUAACACAUUUGUUGAUGUUGUUUAAAUAUCCUCAGUCAAUCACGUUUUAAUAAAGUUUCAAUAUUGUUCGUUUGUUCAAAA